GCAUGUCUAAGUAUAAAUAGUAUACAGUGAAACUGCGAAUGGCUCAUUAAAACAGUUAUAGUUUAUUUGAUAGUGCAAAUUACAUGGAUAACCGUGGUAAUUCUAGAGCUAAUACAUGCGCAAAUACCGGACGCAAGAAUGGUAGCAUUUAUUAGAUUUAACCAUCACAUGGUGAAUCAUAGUAACUUAGCUGACCGCGUGUAUACGUGGUAAAUCAUUCAAGUUUCUGCCCUAUCAGCUUUCGAUGGUAGUGUAUUGGACUACCAUGGCAGUCACGGGUAACGGAGAAUUAGGGUUCGAUUCCGGAGAGGGAGCCUGAGAAACGGCUACCACAUCUAAGGAAGGCAGCAGGCGCGUAAAUUACCCAAUCCCGAUUCGGGGAGGUAGUGACAAGAAAUAGCAACUCGUGCGGGUUUCCGUUACGGGAUUGCAAUGAGAUAAGUCCAAAUCCGUAAACGAUUAACAAUUGGAGGGCAAGUCUGGUGCCAGCAGCCGCGGUAAUUCCAGCUCCAAUAGCGUAUACUUAAGUUGUUGCAGUUAAAAAGCUCGUAGUUGAAAUUCGAGUCAGUUACUAGUUGGCUUUUCGUCAGUUAGUUAAUUGAUUCUCCGUCUACAAUCCCUUUUGCGCUUUAGGGUUGCAGCUGGGCGAGUAGACAAUUUACCUUGAAAAAAUUAGAGUGUUCCAGGCAGGUCUUCGCCGGAAUACAUUAGCAUGGAAUAAUGGAAUAGGACUUGGGUCUUUUGUUGGUUUUAGGACUUGAGUAAUGAUUAAUAGGGACAGAUGGGGGCAUUAGUAUUUAAUUGUCAGAGGUGAAAUUCUUGGAUUUAUUAAAGACUAACUUAUGCGAAAGCAUUUGCCAAGGAUGUUUUCAUUAAUCAAGAACGAAAGUUAGGGGAUCAAAGACGAUCAGAUACCGUCGUAGUCUUAACUAUAAACUAUACCGACUCGAGAUCGGAAGGGUAAUAUAUUAGUCCCUUUCGGCAUCGUAAGAGAAAUCAAAGUCUUUGGGUUCUGGGGGGAGUAUGGUCGCAAGGCUGAAACUUAAAGGAAUUGACGGAAGGGCACCACCAGGAGUGGAGCCUGCGGCUUAAUUUGACUCAACACGGGGAAACUUACCAGGUCAAAACAUGGAUGGGAUUGACAGAUUGAAAGCUCUUUCUUGAUUCUAUGGGUGGUGGUGCAUGGCCGUUCUUAGUUGGUGGAGUGAUUUGUCUGGUUAAUUCCGAUAACGAACGAGACCUUAACCUGCUAACUAGUUUGCUUCUGAAUAAGAGGUAUAACUUCUUAGAGGGACUAUGUAUGUAAGUGCAUGGAAGUUUAAGGCAAUAACAGGUCUGUGAUGCCCCUAGACGUCCUGGGCCGCACGCGCGCUACACUGACACGUUCAGCGAGCUCAUUUACCUGUCCCGAAAGGGCACGGGAAAUCUUGUUAGGACGUGUCGUGCUGGGGAUAGAUCUUUGCAAUUAUAGAUCUUGAACGAGGAAUUCCUUGUAAGCACAGGUCAUCAGCCUGUGCUGAAUACGUCCCUGCCCUUUGUACACACCGCCCGUCGCUCCUACCGAUUUCGAGUGAUGUGGUGAACUAUCUGGACUGCGGAUGGGCUCGAACCAUUUGCGGGAAGUUUCGUAAACCUUAUCACUUAGAGGA
rnacentral:rRNA from 1 species